UUAACGUAAAAUUUUGUGAAAACAACUUACCUGCAUCAAUGCCACCAAUAUUGAAUGAAAAAUUUGAAAGGUAUCCAUGUAAAGCUGUUUCCCAUAUUUCAAAAUUGGUAAUUGAGUUCAAUUUUAAGAAAAAUAUAAGUGUAAGUACUGCCUGAUGCUGUAUUAUUACAUUAGAAUGGGAUAAGGAUGGCAUAAUUGCUUGCUUCAAAAUUACUCCAGAUACUCAUAUCCACUGACUGUAUUAUCUGCAAUAAGAUUGAUUAAUACGAACAUUUAAGAAACAUUUAAUAUGGUUAAUAUGAACAUUCAUUAAUGUCAAUAUUUAAAAUAAGGAAUAAACUAAACUGUUUACCUCUCUUACAAAUUUUAUUGCUGUAAUCCAUUUCAAUGAAACCCUUGGUUCAAUAUAUGGUUCCAGAAGAGUCGGUCUAAGCUCUGAAGUACUGUAUUUAUCACAUGAUUACGUUUUAUAUGUGAAGUACCAAGCAUAUAAUCAUGAAAAACAAUACCAUACCGAUGCGACGUUAACAAUAAAAUUAAAAAAUCAUGUAUAAUUCCUGUAACUACCUAAAUCAAAAUAUAUUUUAUAAUUAUUAGUAUAUAUACAUACAA